CCUACGGGUGGCUGCAGUGGGGAAUAUUGGACAAUGGGCGAAAGCCUGAUCCAGCCAUGCCGCGUGUGUGAAGAAGGCCUUCGGGUUGUAAAACACUUUCAGUGGGGAAGAAAGCCUUGGGGCUAAUACCCUCGAGGAAGGACAUCACCCACAGAAGAAGCACCGGCUAACUCCGUGCCAGCAGCCGCGGUAAUACGGAGGGUGCGAGCGUUAAUCGGAAUUACUGGGCGUAAAGCGCGCGUAGGCGGUCUGAUAAGCCGGUUGUGAAAGCCCCGGGCUCAACCUGGGAACGGCAUCCGGAACUGUCAGGCUAGAGUGCAGGAGAGGAAGGUAGAAUUCCCGGUGUAGCGGUGAAAUGCGUAGAGAUCGGGAGGAAUACCAGUGGCGAAGGCGGCCUUCUGGACUGACACUGACGCUGAGGUGCGAAAGCGUGGGUAGCAAACAGGAUUAGAUACCCUGGUAGUC
rnacentral:rRNA from 1 species